rnacentral:lncRNA from 1 species
AAUUUCUUUCUUUGUUGGAUUUGGACUAAGAUUUGGAGCAAAAUGGAACUAUAUUAAUGCAUAUGAUAAUCAUGUUUUUGUUGCUGGAAGAUUAAUUUACUGUCUUAAUAUAAUAUUUUGGUAUGUGCGCUUGCUAGAUUUUCUAGCUGUAAAUCAACAGGCAGGACCUUAUGUAAUGAUGAUUGGAAAAAUGGUGGCCAAUAUGUUCUACAUUGUAGUGAUAAUGGCUCUUGUAUUACUUAGUUUUGGUGUUCCCAGAAAAGCAAUACUUUAUCCACAUGAAGAACCGUCUUGGUCUCUUGCUAAAGAUAUAG